CCUACGGGUGGCAGCAGUGAGGAAUAUUGGUCAAUGGGCGCGAGCCUGAACCAGCCAAGUAGCGUGAAGGAUGACUGCCCUAUGGGUUGUAAACUUCUUUUAUAUGGGAAUAAAGUGUUCCACGUGUGGCCUUUUGUAUGUACCUUAUGAAUAAGGAUCGGCUAACUCCGUGCCAGCAGCCGCGGUAAUACGGAGGAUCCGAGCGUUAUCCGGAUUUAUUGGGUUUAAAGGGAGCGUAGAUGGGUUGUUAAGUCAGUUGUGAAAGUUUGCGGCUCAACCGUAAAAUUGCAUUUGAUACUGGCAGUCUUGAGUACAGUAGAGGUGGGCGGAAUUCGUGGUGUAGCGGUGAAAUGCUUAGAUAUCACGAAGAACUCCGAUUGCGAAGGCAGCUCACUGGACUGCCACUGACACUGAGGCUCGAAAGUGUGGGUAUCAAACAGGAUUAGAUACCCGGGUAGUC
rnacentral:rRNA from 1 species